rnacentral:lncRNA from 1 species
CUGUAGUUACGGAAGGUUUCGACGACCAACAGCUGAAUUUACCAACAAUUGUUUCCUCAGAAGCUUCAUUUCGAUGCACUGGAAACGAAUCGAAAUUAAAGCAACCCCAACCAAGAGUGACAAAAUUCAACGACAUACGGUACUACGAACAUCUCUUUUACUCUUUUUUUUUUAUAGUUAUGAACCAAAAAGAUGUAAUCUAUAUAUAUAUAUGUUGUUUGACAGGACGUCGACAGCAGUUAAAUCGUUUUUACAGAGUCCAGUUCCGGCAACAACAGCAUCGCGAAAAGUCUUGAAUGCUGUAUCUACUACCACAACAACAACAAGUAGUAACAUUAACAAAACACCACUUCGAAUGAGACGGCAAAAGGAAAUCAGUGAUAAUAAACCGAAUUUGAAAAGAAAAUAAAAAAUGAAGCAAGUUAUUUAUGUUUAGCAAAUUAUUAAUGUUUUUUCUUAACAGGAAGGAUGUGUAUAGAUGUUUGAACAUAUCGUGGUUAAUAUUAGGAUAGAAAAUCGAUUCAUUCAAAUCGUAACAAUAUAACAAGACAUAACCUGUAGUUUCAGAUGCGGAACGUGAGUCACGAGUUCAGGCGAGUCGCGAGUCACGGAUGUCGGAGUCGUGGAACCGCGAUUCCGCGAUGAGGAACCGCGAUUACCAACCUUCACUCGCGUGCAUACUCGUGUGCAUAAUAAAUUAAUUCUUUUCU